UACGGGGGGGGCAAGCGUUGUUCGGAAUUACUGGGCGUAAAGGGCUCGUAGGCGGCCAACUAAGUCGGAUGUGAAAUCCCCAGGCUCAACCUGGGAACUGCAUCCGAUACUGGAUGGCUUGAAUUCGGGAGAGGGAUGCAGAAUUCCAGGUGUAGCGGUGAAAUGCGUAGAUAUCAGGAGGAACACCGGUGGCGAAGGCGGUUAUCUGGACAGAAACUGACGCUGAGGCGCGAAAGCUAGGGGAGCAAACAGG
rnacentral:rRNA from 1 species